AACGAACGCUGGCGGCAUGCCUAACACAUGCAAGUCGAACGAGACCUUCGGGUCUAGUGGCGCACGGGUGCGUAACGCGUGGGAACCUGCCCUUAUGUUCGGAAUAACUCCCCGAAAGGGGUGCUAAUACCGGAUAAUGUCUUCGGACCAAAGAUUUAUCGCCUUUGGAUGGGCCCGCGUUGGAUUAGCUAGUUGGUAGGGUAAAAGCCUACCAAGGCGACGAUCCAUAGCUGGUCUGAGAGGAUGAUCAGCCACACUGGGACUGAGACACGGCCCAGACUCCUACGGGAGGCAGCAGUGGGGAAUAUUGGACAAUGGGCGAAAGCCUGAUCCAGCAAUGCCGCGUGAGUGAUGAAGGCAUUAGGGUUGUAAAGCUCUUUUACCCGGGAUGAUAAUGACAGUACCGGGAGAAUAAGCUCCGGCUAACUCCGUG
rnacentral:rRNA from 1 species